GCAGUCGAGCGAACUGAUUAGAAGCUUGCUUCUAUGACGUUAGCGGUGGAGGUGAGUAACACGUGGGCAACCUGCCUGGAAGGAUAACUUCGGGAAACCGAAGCUAAUACCGGAUAGGAUCUUCUCCUUCAUGGGAGAUGAUUGAAAGAUGGUUUCGGCUAUCACUUACAGAUGGGCCCGCGGUGCAUUAGCUAGGUGGUGAGGUAACGGCUCACCAAGGCAACGAUGCAUAGCCGACCUGAGAGGGUGAUCGGCCACACUGGGACUGAGACACGGCCCAGACUCCUACGGGAGGCAGCAGUACGGAAUCUUCCGCAAUGGACGAAAGUCUGACCGAGCAACGCCGCGUGAGUGAUGAAGGCUUUCGGGUCGUAAAACUCUGUUGUUAGGGAAGAACAAGUACGAGAGUAACUGCUCGUACCUUGACGGUACCUAACCAGAAAGCCACGGCUAACUACGUGCCAGCAGCCGCGGUAAUACGUAGGUGGCAAGCGUUAUCCGGAAUUAUUGGGCCUAAAGCGCGCGCACGCGGUUUCUUAAGUCUGAUGUGAAAGCCCACGGCUCAACC
rnacentral:rRNA from 2 species